GUGUACGCAAGUCAUUGGGUAAUUAAAACUCAAAGGCGAAAUGAAAGUAAAAGAGUUAAAACUUAACUGGCUUACUCAAGGGAAGAUGAAUGUCUUAUUAGAUUAAUAAUUUUUAGUUAACAAACUAUUUAUUAUUGUUUAAUAAAGAUUUUCCGCAUUCCCAGGGCGUUUAAUACUCUUAUUAUUGAGUAUGUGCGCACCUAGAGCGUACACAUGAUACCCGAAAGAUGGUGAACUAUGCCUGGCCAGGACGAAGCCAGGGGAAACCCUGGUGGAGGUCCGCAGCGAUUCUGACGUGCAAAUCGAUCGUCAGAGCUGGGUAUAGGGGCGAAAGACCAAUCGAACCAUCUAGUAGCUGGUUCCCUCUGAAGUUUCCCUCAGGAUAGCUUGCGCUCAUCCGAGUCUCAUCCGGUAGAGCGAAUGAUUAGAGGCAUUGGGGUCGAAACGACCUCAACCUAUUCUCAAACUCCAAAUAGAUGAGAGCCCCGGCUUUCUUAAAAUUGAAGCCGUGGGAAUAGGAUCAGAGUGCC
rnacentral:rRNA from 1 species